AUUCCCUUUGCAGAUACUGGGGUGGCGACUUACUCUUUUUGUCAGCUGAGUAUCCAUCAUGAAGUUGUGCACGUGCUUUUCUGCUUUGACCGGCAGGUCUUUAGGCCAAUCAACUUUGAUAUACCGGGAAUGAAAAGAGAUGCAUUGUACAACUUCCAACUGUUCUACAUAUAUAACAGAAAGGUCACACUGAUGUAUUACGUGCUGAAGGUGGCCACUGCUGAGAUCCUUCUGGAAAGAAAUCAAAAUCCUAACAGGAGUGGAAAAUCACUGGUAUCAAGAGCCUUUGGAAACCUUUAAUUUGUUUUUAUUUCUGGGCUCUAUUUUUCCUGCUGCUGGCCCAUUUCUUGCUGCGUGUUCUCUAGCUCACCCAAAUCUUGUGCAA